UCAAUAAGAAUAUCAAUUCAAGAGGACCCUCGAGAUCUUCUGUGCAGGAAAAAUUCAUAUCCAGAAUGGCGUACUCUCCUCAACUUAGAAACUUAUCAUGAAAAAAUUCAAAGCCAAAAACUAUUUCAAGAAGUCAUAUCUUGCCAAAGAAUUGAAGAAAAAUUUGGAGACAAUUACAGACAAAUAGACAUCCAUCUACAUUAUGGCCC
rnacentral:lncRNA from 1 species